UAGGAAGUGGUGUAGUGGAAGCACUGAGAGUUUUGAUCUCUCCAGGGAGGGUUCGAGUCCCUUUUUCCUAA
rnacentral:tRNA from 1 species